GUUAUGGUUAGGUUUAGGUUAAAACGCAAUGCCCAGGAUGGGCGCUGCGAGGGGCACGGGCACAAGAGGACCACUGGUGUGAAUAAAACACUUAAAAACCUCCUUAAAAGGUUAGGUUAAAUAAAAAAGACGGUGCUGU